CAAUCAAAAUUAUAAUAAUAGAGAAAUUAGAUAUGAGAUAACAUUCAUCAAAAUAAAUAAAAAUAGGUUUAGAUAAUUACUUGUGGACUUGGACAAGAUCCUACAGA